AUUUCUAUAGCUCAAGAAGAGUUUAAUGUUGAAAGCAUUAGGAUAAUUGGUUAAUAUUUGGAAGUG
rnacentral:tRNA from 1 species